rnacentral:rRNA from 1 species
GACGAACGCUGGCGGCGUGCUUAACACAUGCAAGUCGAACGGAAAGGCCCUGCUUUUGUGGGGUGCUCGAGUGGCGAACGGGUGAGUAACACGUGAGUAACCUGCCCUUGACUUUGGGAUAACUUCAGGAAACUGGGGCUAAUACCGGAUAGGAGCUCCUGCUGCAUGGUGGGGGUUGGAAAGUUUCGGCGGUUGGGGAUGGACUCGCGGCUUAUCAGCUUGUUGGUGGGGUAGUGGCUUACCAAGGCUUUGACGGGUAGCCGGCCUGAGAGGGUGACCGGCCACAUUGGGACUGAGAUACGGCCCAGACUCCUACGGGAGGCAGCAGUGGGGAAUAUUGCACAAGGGGCGGAAGCCGGAUGCAGCAACGCCGCGUGCGGGAGGACGGCCUUCGGGUUGUAAACCGCUUUCGCCUGUGACGAAGCGUGAGUGACGGUAAUGGGUAAAGAAGCACCGGCUAACUACGU